ensembl:misc_RNA Y_RNA Y RNA
GGUUGGCCCAAGUACAGAGGUGUUUACAACCAACUGAUAACAAGUUACAGACGUCUUUGUUCCUGCUCCACUCCCAGUGUUUCAUUUGACUAGCCUUUU